AUUGAACGCUGGCGGCAUGCCUUACACAUGCAAGUCGAACGGCAGCACGGGUGCUUGCACCUGGUGGCGAGUGGCGAACGGGUGAGUAAUACAUCGGAACGUACCUUAUCGUGGGGGAUAACGCAGCGAAAGCUGUGCUAAUACCGCAUACGCCCUGAGGGGGAAAGCGGGGGAUCGCAAGACCUCGCGCGAUUAGAGCGGCCGAUGCCUGAUUAGCUUGUUGGUGGGGUAAAAGCCCACCAAGGCGACGAUCAGUAGCUGGUCUGAGAGGACGAUCAGCCACACUGGGAGUGGGACACGGCCCAGACUCCUACGGGAGGCAGCAGUGGGGAAUUUUGGACAAUGGGGGCAACCCUGAUCCAGCAAAGCCGCGUGAGUGAAAAAGGCCUUCGGGUUGUAAAGCUCUUUUGUCAGGGAAGAAACACCGGCUCUAACACAGUCCGGGAAUGACGGUACCUGAAGAAUAAGCACCGGCUAACUACGUGCCAGCCGCCGCAGUAA
rnacentral:rRNA from 1 species